GGCCUACGGGUGGCUGCAGUGGGGAAUAUUGCGCAAUGGGGGAAACCCUGACGCAGCAACGCCGCGUGAACGACGAAGGCCUUCGGGUCGUAAAGUUCUGUCAAGUGGGACGAAGGCUGCAUUGUGAACAGCGAUGCAGAUGACGGUACCUAAAGAGGAAGCUCCGGCUAACUACGUGCCAGCAGCCGCGGUAAUACGUAGGGAGCGAGCGUUGUCCGGAAUUACUGGGCGUAAAGGGCGCGUAGGCGGCCGAUUAAGUUAGAUGUGAAAAACCGGGGCUCAACUCCGGGAUGGCAUUUAAGACUGGUCGGCUUGAGGGUGAGAGAGGAAAGUGGAAUUCCUAGUGUAGCGGUGAAAUGCGUAGAUAUUAGGAGGAACACCAGUGGCGAAGGCGACUUUCUGGCUCAUACCUGACGCUGAGGCGCGAAAGCGUGGGGAGCAAACAGGAUUAGAUACCCUUGUAGUCG
rnacentral:rRNA from 1 species